rnacentral:rRNA from 1 species
GACGAACCGUGCGAACGUUGUUCGGAAUCACUGGGCUUAAAGGGCGCGUAGGCGGGUGAUCAAGUCAGGGGUGAAAUCCUUCCGCUCAACGGGAGAACAGCUUCUGAUACUGGUCAUCUUGAGGGGGGUAGGGGCAUGUGGAACUUCCGGUGGAGCGGUGAAAUGCGUAGAUAUCGGAAGGAACGCCAGUGGCGAAAGCGAGGUCCUGGACCCUUUCUGACGCUGAGACGCGAAAGCCAGGGGAGCGAACGGG